rnacentral:rRNA from 1 species
UCCUACGGGAGGCAGCAGUCGGGAAUUUUGGGCAAUGGGCGAAAGCCUGACCCAGCAACGCCGCGUGAAGGAUGAAAUCCCUCGGGAUGUAAACUUCGCAAGAAUGGGAAGAAUGAACGAGCGCUAAUACCGUUCGUGAUGACGGUACCAUUUGUAAGCUCCGGCUAACUCCGUGCCAGCAGCCGCGGUAAUACGGGGGGAGCAAGCGUUGUUCGGAUUUACUGGGCGUAAAGGGCGCGUAGGCGGCCAGCGCAAGUCAGUUGUGAAAUCUCCGGGCUUAACUCGGAAAGGUCAAUUGAUACUGCAGCGGCUAGAGUGCAGAAGGGGCAACUGGAAUUCUCGGUGUAGCGGUGAAAUGCGUAGAUAUCGAGAGGAACAUCUGCGGCGAAGGCGGGUUGCUGGGCUGACACUGACGCUGAGUGCGCGAAAGCCAGGGGAGCGAACGGGAUUAGAUACCCCGGUAGUCCUGGCCUUAAACGAUGGAUGCUUGGUGUCUGGAGUUUUUUAAUAGC